rnacentral:rRNA from 1 species
GCUCAGGAUGAACGCUGGCGGCGUGCCUAAUACAUGCAAGUCGAACGCACUAGUUUACUAGUGAGUGGCGAACGGGUGAGUAACACGUAGGUAACCUGCCCUUAAGACGAGGAUAACCAUUGGAAACGAUGGCUAAGACUGGAUAGGAAUAUUUGAGGCAUCUUAAAUAUUUUAAAAGACCUAGCAAUAGGUAUGCUUAAGGAGGGGCCUGCGGCGCAUUAGUUAGUUGGUGAGGUGAGAGCUCACCAAGGUAGCCGGACUGAGAGGUUGAACGGCCACAUUGGGACUGAGAAACGGCCCAAACUCCUACGGGAGGCAGCAGUAGGGAAUUUUCGGCAAUGGAGGAAACUCUGACCGAGCAACGCCGCGUGAAUGACGAAGUACUUCGGUAUGUAAAGUUCUUUUAUCAGGGAAGAAUGGGCAGUGGAAAAACUGUUUUGACGGUACCUGAUGAAUAAGCCCCGGCUAACUAUGUGCCAGCAGCCGCGGUAAUACAUAGGGGGCAAGCGUUAUCCGGAAUUAUUGGGCGUAAAGGGUGCGUAGGCGGUUAUUUAAGUCUGGUGUGAAAGAUCAGGGCUCAACCCUGAGAGUGCAUCGGAAACUGGAGAUCUUGAGGACAGGAGAGGAAAGUGGAAUUCCACGUGUAGCGGUGAAAUGCGUAGAUAUGUGGAGGAACACCAGUGGCGAAGGCGACUUUCUGGACUGUAACUGACGCUGAGGCGCGAAAGCGUGGGGAGCAAACAGGAUUAGAUACCCUGGUAGUCCACGCCGUAAACGAUGAGUGCUAGGUGU